rnacentral:other from 1 species
UUAAAGCUGCGUUGUACGUAACAUAUUAAGUUUUAACCUUUAAGCUGUAAAAGGGAGUUUUAGAUUGAAGGUGGAAUGGCGAGCGUCACACAAUUUGGUGAAUGACGAUAUACAGGAAAUCUUUUGCGAACACCCACUUUGAGGAGUGGUGGUUUAAAACUUUCUAUAAUAAAUACGGCAAAGCGGCUUGCUA